UGACGGUAACUUACCAGAAAGGGACGGCUAACUACGUGCCAGCAGCCGCGGUAAUACGUAGGUCCCGAGCGUUGUCCGGAUUUAUUGGGCGUAAAGCGAGCGCAGGCGGUUUAAUAAGUCUGAAGUUAAAGGCAGUGGCUUAACCAUUGUUCGCUUUGGAAACUGUUAGACUUGAGUGCAGAAGGGGAGAGUGGAAUUCCAUGUGUAGCGGUGAAAUGCGUAGAUAUAUGGAGGAACACCGGUGGCGAAGGCGGCUUACUGGACUGUAACUGACGUUGAGGCUCGAAAGCGUGGGGAGCAAACAGGAUUAGAUACCCUG
rnacentral:rRNA from 1 species